rnacentral:sRNA from 1 species
CCUUCCCGCCUUCAAAAAAAAAAAAUAGGUGAGGCUGAAUCAUGGACUUAGUCUUUAUUUAAAAUUUUGAGCCACUUGCGGUGGCUCAUACCUGUUAUCCCAGCUACUCAGGAGGCUGAGGUGGGAGGAUCACUUGAGCCCAGGAGUUCAAGGCUGCAGUGAGCUGUGAUUGUACCAUUGUACUCCAGCCUAGACAACAGAAGGAGACCCCCAUCCCUGUAAAAAAAAAAAAGAAGAAAUUGAUAUUUGUUCAUCAUGGACUUUUUGCAUUAAUUUUGAUUUUUUAAAAUAUUGGAGCAAAAGAUUAUCUUGAUUACUGAGAUUUUCAAUACCCCCUUAAUUUGCACCCAAAACAAAUGCCUCCCUCCCUCACCUCGUCCAAGUCGUGGUCUUUCUCUCAGAGGUCUUGGAAAUGCCAGGCUGGAAGCUUGGUAGAUUCCAGCAUGUGCCCUCAGCAUCCUCACCUCCCUCCCUCUCUCAGCAAAUAUGCCAACCUGAACAUGCCCUACUACCCACUCUCACACACAUCCAGUACUCACACGUGGGAAUAGUGCUAACCCACAAGGCACCUUUGAGCAAAGUUUUUUUAAACACCGCUUUCUCAACAGGCUUCAUUUCCAUCUGUCUGAAAAUCAUCACAAUAGACUUAAAUGAUUUUGUUCAAACAAGGCACUGGAGGGCCACCUGCCAAAAAAUUGUCAUGAAUACACAAAUCUAUCAUGCCUAUCAUGUGAAGGUAUCACUUAGACACAAAGCCUUUGAGCAGUGUACAACCUGCACUACUGUACAGAGCUGCUGUGCACUUACCCACUCUCAUAUAUAUCCCCAUUGUACCUCCUGAGCACCCAGCAUCACCUGUGCUCAAAUACCCACUCUACAUGCAUACAACCCACUUCUACUCCCUCCAUUGCCACAACCUGUCUUUAAAUCCCGACUUGGCCACUUAUAAGUGGGUGAUCUUCAGCACGUCCCUUUAAAUUGCUGAACCUCAAUUUCCUCAUGUGCAAACUGGAGCCACUAAUAACCUCCCUGGGAGGGUUGCUGAGCAGGUGAGGAUGAAUCGUUGAAUAUUGUUUCCAGCACACAGCAAGCCCGUCAUGCACAGCAGUAGAAAUAACUGACAUUGGCCGGGCGUGGUGGCUCACACCUGUAAUCUCAACAGUUUGGGAGGCAGGUGGAUCACCUGAGAUCAGGAGUUCAAGACCAGCCUGGCCAACAUGGUGAAACCCCGUCUCUACUAAAAAUACAAAAAAAUUAGCCAGGCGUGGUGGCACAUGUCGGUAAUCCCAGCUACUUGGGAGUCUGAGGCAGGAGAAUCACUUGAACCCGGGAGGCGGAGGUUGUAGUGAGCCAAGAUCGCACCAUUGCACUCCAGCCUGGGCAACAGGAGCGAAACUCCAUCUCAAAAAAUUAAAACUAAAAUUAAGAAAUAACUGACAUUGUUGUCAGCCUUUCAAAAAACAGUGACUACUUAAAUUUCUUUUUCAUUUCCCUUGGUUCCUAUUCCACCAUCUCACUUCCACCCUCUCUCCACCUUCCUCCUCACCCCUUGGGUCCCUGUCUCUCUCCUUCCUGCCCCAUCCCUUGCAGGGUCCUCAAGCACUCAGUGGAUGCCACCUUUGAGAACCAGGGCCCCAGCCCGGGGUACCGCAUGGAGAUGUCCAUUUUCUACGUUGUCUACUUUGUGGUGUUCCCCUUCUUCUUUGUCAAUAUCUUUGUGGCCUUGAUCAUCAUCACCUUCCAGGAGCAAGGGGACAAGAUGAUGGAGGAAUACAGCCUGGAGAAAAAUGAGGUGCCACUUCCAAUUCCAUCUGUCCUUUAAAAACUGGGGACACACACAAACUUUAAAACACACACACACAACACCCAGGAACCUGUUUCUAGGGGUACCUGGGGGAGGGAACAGAAGCAUCCUCCAAACAGAAUCCAGUCUUCAGGGCAGCCUUUCAUGGAGUUUCCAGAGGAAACACAUCAUAUAACGUAUGUAUCAGUCAGUUUAGACUAGGUUAUGCCGCAGUAACAAGCAAUCCCAGAUUUCAUUGCCAAAUAUCCACAAAGGGACUUAUUUUUUGCUCACACUGCAUGUCGACAUCAGUUGUGGAUCUUGCCAUCUUUAUUCUGGUUGCCAGGCUGGCAGAGCAGCAGAGCAGCCUCCCUCUGAGAUGCUCCAGAUGAAAAAGAGAGUAUAUCAGACUGAGGUUCAGCUCUUCAGGCUUGUGCUCAAAAAUGACACGUCACUUCUGCUCACAUUUCAUCAGCCAAAGCAAGUCACACAUCCAUUCUGACGUCAGUGGAGUGGGCAAAUACAAUCUCCCCUAGUGAAGGGUGGUGAAUAUUUAUGAAUGAAAAGCCAAGCCAGGUGUGGUGGCUCACACCUGUAAUCCCAACAUUUUGGAAAGCUGAGGCAGGAGGAUCACUUGAGCUCAGGAGUUUGAGACCAGCCCGGCCAACAUAGAAAGACCCCAUCUCUACUACAAAUCAAAAAAAUUAGCCAGGCAUGAUGGUGCACACCUUUAGUCCCAGUAACAUGGGAGGCUGAGGUGGGAGGACCCUUGAGCUUGGGAGUUCGAGGCUGCAGUGAGCUAUCAUCAUGCCACUGCACUCCAGCCUGGGCAACAGAGCAUGACCCUGUCUCAAAAAAAGGAAAGAAAAUCCAGUCCCCAGUCUACCAGAGAGUAUAGACAUGACUCUUUGCCUCUCUGGCAUCAUCCAAGCUAAAUAGAGGACCUAGAAUAUAUCCUAUGCUCCCUUGACCCUUAAGACUUAAUAACCACUAUUCCUCGUUCUCUCUCCCUCGAAGAGAAGGAGAAGAAGCAGCAAAGUAUUCAGUAAGAAAGAAUGGGCUGGGCGCAGUGGCUCACGCCUGUAAUCUUAACACUUUAGGAGGCCAAGGCAGGAGGAUUGCUUGAGCCCGGAAGUUCAAGACCAGCCUGAGCAACAUAGUGAGACCC